GACGAACGCUGGCGGCGUGCUUAACACAUGCAAGUCGAACGAUGAAGGAGGAGCUUGCUCCUCCGGAUUAGUGGCGAACGGGUGAGUAACACGUGAGCAAUCUGCCCUUGACUCUGGGAUAAGCGCUGGAAACGGCGUCUAAUACCGGAUACGACCCUCGGAGGCAUCUCCUGUGGGUGGAAAGAACUUCGGUCAAGGAUGAGCUCGCGGCCUAUCAGCUUGUUGGUGAGGUAACGGCUCACCAAGGCGACGACGGGUAGCCGGCCUGAGAGGGUGACCGGCCACACUGGGACUGAGACACGGCCCAGACUCCUACGGGAGGCAGCAGUGGGGGAUAUUGCACAAUGGGCGCAAGCCUGAUGCAGCAACGCCGCGUGAGGGACGACGGCCUUCGGGUUGUAAACCUCUUUUAGCAGGGAAGAAGCGAGAGUGACGGUACCUGCAGAAAAAGCACCGGCUAACUCUGUGCCAGCCGCCGCCGUAAUAC
rnacentral:rRNA from 1 species